rnacentral:rRNA from 1 species
GAUGAACGCUGACAGAAUGCUUAACACAUGCAAGUCGACUGUGGCGGACGGGUGAGUAACGCGUAAAGGACUUGCCUCACAGCUAGGGACAACAUUUGGAAACGAAUGCUAAUACCUGAUACUGUGAGAGAGCUUUGCGUCCCAUUAGCUAGUUGGAGAGGUAACGGCUCACCAAGGCGAUGAUGGGUAGCCGGCCUGGGAGUGUGAUCGGGCACAAGGGGACUGGGAAACGGCCCUUACGCCUACGGGAGGCAGGGGUGGGGAAUAGUGGACAAGGGACCAAAGUGUGAUGAAGCCAUUCUGUGUGUACGAUGAAGUUUUCGGAAUGUAAAGUGCUUUCAGUUGGGAAGCGGUACCAGCAGAAGAAGUGACGGCUAAAUACGUGCCAGCAGCCGCGGUAAUAC